rnacentral:rRNA from 1 species
UACGUAGGCAGCGAGCGUUGUUCGGAAUUACUGGGCGUAAAGCGUGCGCAGGCGGUUUUGUAAGUCUGUCGUGAAAGCCCCGGGCUCAACCUGGGAAUUGCGAUGGAGACUGCAAGGCUUGAAUCUGGCAGAGGGGGGUAGAAUUCCACGUGUAGCAGUGAAAUGCGUAGAGAUGUGGAGGAACACCGAUGGCGAAGGCAGCCCCCUGGGUCAAGAUUGACGCUCAUGCACGAAAGCGUGGGGAGCAAACAGG